rnacentral:rRNA from 1 species
AGCGGCGGACGGGUGAGUAACACGUGGGUAACCUGCCCAAGAGACUGGGAUAACACCUGGAAACAGAUGCUAAUACCGGAUAACAACACUAGACGCAUGUCUAGAGUUUGAAAGAUGGUUCUGCUACCACUCUUGGAUGGACCUGCGGUGCAUUAGCUAGUUGGUAAGGUAACGGCUUACCAAGGCAAUGAUGCAUAGCCGAGUUGAGAGACUGAUCGGCCACAUUGGGACUGAGACACGGCCCAAACUCCUACGGGAGGCAGCAGUAGGGAAUCUUCCACAAUGGACGAAAGUCUGAUGGAGCAACGCCGCGUGAGUGAAGAAGGGUUUCGGCUCGUAAAGCUCUGUUGGUAGUGAAGAAAGAUAGAGGUAGUAACUGGCCUUUAUUUGACGGUAAUUACUUAGAAAGUCACGGCUAACUACGUGCCAGCAGCCGCGGUAAUACGUAGGUGGCAAGCGUUGUCCGGAUUUAUUGGGCGUAAAGCGAGUGCAGGCGGUUCAAUAAGUCUGAUGUGAAAGCCUUCGGCUCAACCGGAGAAUUGCAUCAGAAACUGUUGAACUUGAGUGCAGAAGAGGUGAGUGGAACUCCAUGUGUAGCGGUGGAAUGCGUAGAUAUAUGGAAGAACACCAGUGGCGAAAGCGGCUCUCUGGUCUGCAACUGACGCUGAGGCUCGAAAGCAUGGGUAGCGAACAGGAUUAGAUACCCUGGUAGUCCAUGCCGUAAACGAUGAGUGCUAAGUGU